rnacentral:rRNA from 1 species
CGGAUCAGCACGCCGCGGUGAAUACGUUCCCGGGCCUUGUACACACCGCCCGUCACACCAUGGAAGUCUGCAAUGCCCGAAGCCGGUGGCCUAACCCACUUAUGUGGAAGGAGCCGUCUAAGGCAGGGCAGAUGACUGGGGUGAAGUCGUAACAAGGUAGC